rnacentral:rRNA from 1 species
CCUACGGGUGGCAGCAGUGAGGAAUAUUGGUCAAUGGUCGGAAGCCUGAACCAGCCAAGCCGCGUGAGGGAAGAAGGUACUCAGAAUUGUAAACCGCUUUUGUAGGGGAGCAAAUGCGGGGACGCGUCUCUGUAUGAUUGUACCGUAUGAAAAAGGAUCGGCAAACUCCGUGCCAGCAGCCGCGGUAAUACGGAGGAUACGAGCGUUAUCCGGAUUUAUUGGGUUUAAAGGGUGUGUAGGCGGUCGUGUAAGUUAGAGGUGAAAUCCCGGGGCUCAACCUCAGAAUUGCCUUUGAUACUGGCAGGCUCGAGAGUAGUAGAGGUAUGCGGAAUGUGAGGUGUAGCGGUGAAAUGCUUAGAGAUCUUGCAGAACACCGAUUGCGAAGGCAGCUUGCCGGGCUCCCACUGACGCUGAGGCACGAAAGCGUGGGUAGCAAACAGGAUUAGAUACCCCAGUAGUC